GACGUAGGGCGCGAGCGUUGUCCGGAUUUAUUGGGCGUAAAGAGCUCGUAGGCGGCUUGUCGCGUCUGCUGUGAAAACUCAGGGCUUAACUCUGAGCUUGCAGUGGGUACGGGCAGACUAGAGUGCGGUAGGGGAGACUGGAAUUCCUGGUGUAGCGGUGAAAUGCGCAGAUAUCAGGAAGAACACCCGUGGCGAAGGCGGCUCUCUGGGACGUGACUGACGCUGAGACGCGAAAGCAUGGGGAGCGAACAGG
rnacentral:rRNA from 1 species